UCCCUGGUGGUCUAGUGGUCAGGAUUCGGCACUCUCACUGCCGCGGCCUGGGUUCGAUUCCCAGCCAGGGAA
rfam:Patagioenas fasciata monilis isolate BTP2013 Sc31e1R_443, whole genome shotgun sequence.